rnacentral:tRNA from 3 species
GCCGAAGUGGCGGAACUGGUAGACGCGCUGGGUUCAGGGUCCAGUGAGGGUUUCCUCGUCGGGGUUCAAAUCCCCGCUUCGGCACCA